GAGAGAGGCUCGCUAGCUACGUAGACUGCUAAUUCGCGUAACCAUGGUUGGACCCCAAGGCUCUACCUCG
rnacentral:tRNA from 1 species